GGUUAUUGAUGUCAAAUAUAUCUUCAAAAAUUAAUAAAAGUGAAUCGUUUUAGAGAUAUUCCCGACGAACAUAUUGAUGAAAUGGUGGUUAGUAGCGAACCGACAAAAGCUGCAAAAACAGAAGAUUGAGUUUCAGAAGCAAAUCCCAAUCUGCUAUAAGGUUUUGCUACCGUCAGAUUAGUCUUCCGUAUAAGUUCCGCCUCUGGGUAUAAUGAAGUAUCUACGAUGAAAUUGGGCAAAACGCUGCUCAUUGUCUGAAACUACACCGACAUAAUUGGCUUUUGUUGGACGAAACCGUGAAAUUCCGUAUUAAUUUGUCGACAAUGGAAUUGUGGUCGAUGACAGAAACUAUGGGUGGUUUUAUAAUAUAUCGAAAUGUCACAUACAUACAAACUUAUACAGCCAGUUAAUUAAAAAAGUAUAUUCAUUAACUGCAUGUAAAUAUUGGCCAAUAAACUCUUAAUAUACC